rnacentral:rRNA from 1 species
GACGAACGCUGGCGGCGUGCUUAACACAUGCAAGUCGAACGGAAAGGCCCUGCUUUUGUGGGGUGCUCGAGUGGCGAACGGGUGAGUAACACGUGAGUAACCUGCCCUUGACUUUGGGAUAACUUCAGGAAACUGGGGCUACUACCGGAUAGGAGCUCCUGCUGCAUGGUGGGGGUUGGAAAGUUUCGGCGGUUGGGGAUGGACUCGCGGCUUAUCAGCUUGUUGGUGGGGUAGUGGCUUACCAAGGCUUGGACGGGUAGCCGGCCUGAGAGGGUGACCGGCCACAUUGGGAUAGGGAUACGGCCCAGACGCCUACGGGAGGCAGCGGGGGGGAAUAUAGCACAAUGGGCGGAAGCCUGAUGCAGCAACGCCGCGUGCGGGAUGACGGCUUUCGGGUUGUAAACCGCUUUCGCCUGUGACGAAGCGGGAGUGAGGGUAAUGGGGAAAGAAGCACCGCCUAACUAGUG